rnacentral:rRNA from 1 species
UACGGGGGGGCAAGCGUUGUUCGGAAUUACUGGGCGUAAAGGGCGCGUAGGCGGCUCUUCAAGUCAGCCGUGAAAUCUCCAGGCUUAACCUGGAAGGGUCGGUUGAUACUGCGGGGCUAGAGUGCGGAAGGGGCAACUGGAAUUCUUGGUGUAGCGGUGAAAUGCGUAGAUAUCAAGAGGAACACCUGCGGCGAAGGCGGGUUGCUGGGCCGACACUGACGCUGAGGCGCGAAGCUAGGGGAGCGAACGGG